UAAUCUGUUCUACAUUAGAUGGUAAUAGCGGGUGAUCCGUCUUCUCUGGAUGAUCAGGUUUUGAGUGAAAAGAAAGUUGUUGGAGAAAAUAGUGUAUCAUACAGUGUAGUCACUGGCUGUUCCACUCAAGGAAGAUUUGGAAGAACUUAAAAGAAAUAUACAAGGUGGUGAAGUGCGUAGGUUAAACAGAUUGUUAAAAUCUGUGGAUUUGGAAAAAUAGGUAGAGAUAAGGUGUCCUGAUAAGGUAAAGAUCGGCUUCAUGAGUUUUUCUGUUAGGCCUUAUAUCCCUCCUCCUUUGCAUUAAAAAACGCAUUACCUUAUGUAAUUUUUUUAUAAGGAUAAUAAAAGUUCAACAACAUUGGUAAUGCCAGAUAAUGAUGCAAAUGUGUAGACUCCAGUUUACAGUUCAACAGUCAGAUGGCAACACAAAAUAAGCUGUUGCAAAACCUGGUGGACCUGCAGCAGGUGCUGCAAAACCUUUUCCCAGAAGGCAGCAGGGAGAACAUUCCAUGGUGGGGUUGUGAGGGGUCUCUGAUGAUGUUAUGGGCUCAGGACAGGUAGCGCUGGGAUGAAAUGUCUUUAAUGAAGGGUAGGGUACCCCGAUGAUACCUUCUGCUGUCAUCAUCACUCUCCUCAGGUUCCUCAAGUCAGAGGCGAUGCACCAUCCACACCACACAGACAAACAGCUGGUCACAAUGCUCUCUAUGGUGCUGCUGUAGAAGGUCGGGAGGAUGGGCGGGGCCAGGUGGGCUCUCCUCAUCUUCCGCAGUAAGUGCAAGCGCUUUUGUGGCCUCUUCGCCAGUGACAUGGUGCUCACAGACCAGUUGAGGUUGUGUGUUAUGUGCACCCCGAGGAAUUUAUUGCUGCCGACCACCUCAACAGCUGAGCUGUUAAUGAGAAGUGGAGCAUGGCGAGGCCAUUUCUCAUUCAUUCUUCUACAACUUAAAUUUUGAAGUUCACUGUAGCUCAGUCUGAAAAAUUAAACAAAUUAAAAAUGUUUUAAAUGUUUUUAAGACAACUAAAAAUGAGCAACUAGAGAAAUGCUGAAACUAGCAAGUAAAGGCCCUGCGACAGACUGGCAACCUGUCCAGGGUGUACACCGCCUCUCGCCCAUUGAAAUGCUGGAGAUAGGCACCA